rnacentral:rRNA from 1 species
AGUGAACGCUGGCGGUAGGCCUAACACAUGCGAGUCGAACGGCAGCACAGUAAGAGCUUGCUCUUACGGGUGGCGAGUGGCGGACGGGUGAGGAAUACAUCGGAAUCUACUUUUUCGUGGGGGAUAACGUAGGGAAACUUACGCUAAUACCGCAUACGACCUACGGGUGAAAGCAGGGGAUCUUCGGACCUUGCGCGAUUGAAUGAGCCGAUGUCGGAUUAGCUAGUUGGCGGGGUAAAGGCCCACCAAGGCGACGAUCCGUAGCCGGUCUGAGAGGAUGAUCCGCCACACUGGAACUGAGACACGGUCCAGACUCCUACGGGAGGCAGCGGUGGGGAAUAUUGGACAAUGGGCGCAAGCCUGAUCCAGCCAUACCGCGUGGGUGAAGAAGGCCUUCGGCUUGUAAAGCCCUUUUGUUGGGAAAGAAGAGCAGCAGGUUAAUACCCCGCUGUUCUGACGGUACCCAAAGAAUAAGCACCGGCUAACUUCGUG